UACGAAGGGGGCUAGCGUUGUUCGGAAUUACUGGGCGUAAAGCGCACGUAGGCGGCUCGAUCAGUCAGGGGUGAAAUCCCAGGGCUCAACCCUGGAACUGCCUUUGAUACUGUCGAUCUGGAGUAUGGAAGAGGUGAGUGGAAUUCCGAGUGUAGAGGUGAAAUUCGUAGAUAUUCGGAGGAACACCAGUGGCGAAGGCGGCUCACUGGUCCAUUACUGACGCUGAGACGCGAAAGCGUGGGGAGCGAACCGG
rnacentral:rRNA from 1 species